CUAAAAUUCUACAUUCUAUUAUUAGAAAGAUUUCACUUCUUUAAAAAAAAUUAGAUGACCUAAUGAGUUGGUAUUUCAAAGCAUUGCUGGGAACCCAAGAGAAUGAACAAACUGCUUUCCUAGGAGAUUCCAGACUUUGAGAUCUGGACAGGGACUUAAAGUCAUUCAGAGUCUUUGGAGAGAACAGCUUCACUAUGGUUCACUAUGUCACUUGGAAAGUGCACAUAAUCUCAGCCUAGACUUCAUUCCCUCUAGACUGUGAGUUCCUCAAAGAAACCAUUUAUCCUGAUGCCUUGCAAACAGUAGGUGAUCAAAGAGUGUUGGUAGAACGAACAAAGGAAAGAAUUAGGAUGAGUCUUCUAUGUCAUGGACAUGGAGAACAAAGCUCAGCCUGGUGAUGGUUUUGUUUCAAGGUCACACAGUAAAAAUAAAGACAAAGUUAAGAGAAAACCCUAGGACUUCUCAUACUAAAUUAUGUCAUGUUGACCCCCAAACAGCAAUAAAAAUAUCCACACUGAACCUUUUACUUCCUAUCCCUCCAUACCCACCCUAAUGUGGUAACGCAGAGAAAGUCCGAAUUCCCAUUAAAGUGAUGAAGGCCCUUGUCUUUCUGUGUUUCCGUUAGUACAAGAUGUGAAAGAAGCCCCUCUUUUGCCCACCUUUUCUCCCCCUUAAGCCUGGACCUUGGAGGGCAGCUACACUGUUGAGCAGCAGUAAUCUGUGGAGGUGUUGAGCAGAGAACUUGGGAGUUUAAGGACAAGCUGUGCUAGGGUUAGGUUGUUCUAGUUUCUCCUUCCUCCGUGCUUUUCUUUGCAUCACCAAUGAUGUUAUUUAUGGAAUGCCAGUAUGUUUCUUUUUUUAAUUAAAAGGAGAAAAAUAUCAGUCUUGCAUAAGAAAAAGAGUGAUGACUCAACAGGAUUGCUCAGUGCCAAACGAUUUUCUGUAAUCGCAUCUGUAGCAGUGUUUCUUGCAAAGGCAGGCUGUGGGGGGUGGGGGGUAGUGGUGAGAUUGCUCCCUGGGCUGCCCCUCUGUCCAUGAGGCUCAUUCCUAACACAGCCCAGGGUGCCUGACAGGUCCAUAGUCCUGAAUUCUGGCCUGGUGAAACUAAGCUGACCAGAUCUUGCUGAUUUUUGAGCAGAG
rnacentral:lncRNA from 1 species